GCCUAGUUAGCUUAGUUGGUAGUGCGUCUGCCUUGUAAGCGCUAGGCCGCGGGUUCGAUUCCCGCCCCGGGCG
rfam:Asian citrus Psyllid, Diaphorina citri - Florida Strain, whole genome shotgun sequence.